rnacentral:rRNA from 1 species
CUCGUAGGCGGUUUGUCGCGUCUGCUGUGAAAGACCGGGGCUUAACUCCGGGGUUGCAGUGGGUACGGGCAGACUAGAGUGCGGUAGGGGUAGCUGGAAUUCCUGGUGUAGCGGUGGAAUGCGCAGAUAUCAGGAGGAACACCGAUGGCGAAGGCAGGUUACUGGGCCGUUACUGACGCUGAGGAGCGAAAGCAUGGGGAGCGAACA